rnacentral:rRNA from 1 species
GAUGAACGCUGGCGGCGUGCCUAAUACAUGCAAGUCGAACGGUAACAGGAAGAAGCUUGCUUCUUUGCUGACGAGUGGCGGACGGGUGAGUAAUGUCUGGGAAACUGCCUGAUGGAGGGGGAUAACUACUGGAAACGGUAGCUAAUACCGCAUAACGUCGCAAGACCAAAGAGGGGGACCUUCGGGCCUCUUGCCAUCGGAUGUGCCCAGAUGGGAUUAGCUAGUAGGUGGGGUAACGGCUCACCUAGGCGACGAUCCCUAGCUGGUCUGAGAGGAUGACCAGCCACACUGGAACUGAGACACGGUCCAGACUCCUACGGGAGGCAGCAGUGGGGAAUAUUGCACAAAGGGCGCAAGCCUGAUGCAGCCAUGCCGCGUGUAUGAAGAAGGCCUUCGGGUUGUAAAGUACUUUCAGCGGGGAGGAAGGGAGUAAAGUUAAUACCUUUGCUCAUUGACGUUACCCGCAGAAGAAGCACCGGCUAACUCCGUG